rnacentral:rRNA from 1 species
UACAGAGGGUGCGAGCGUUGUUCGGAAUUAUUGGGCGUAAAGGGCGCGUAGGCGGCGCGGUAAGUCACCUGUGAAAUCUCCUGGCUCAACUGGGAGCUUGCAGGCGAAACUGCCGUGCUGGAGUGUGGGAGAGGUGCGUGGAAUUCCCGGUGUAGCGGUGAAAUGCGUAGAUAUCGGGACGAACACCUGUGGCGAAAGCGGCGCACUGGACCACAACUGACGCUGAGGCGCGAAAGCUAGGGGAGCAAACAGG